GGCACGUUGCCCGAGUGGUUAAGGGGUUAGUCUUGAAUUGCAACAAUUUCAACGGCUGUCAGCGACGCUGCUAACUAAUUCGCAUUGCGAGCGCAGGUUCAAACCCUGCACGUGUCG